rnacentral:rRNA from 1 species
UACGUAGGGGGCAAGCGUUGUCCGGAAUCAUUGGGCGUAAGGCGCGCGUAGGCGGCCCGGUAAGUCCGUUGUGAAAGUCGAAGGCUCAACCUUCGAAAGCCGAUGGAUACUGCCGGGCUAGAGUACGGAAGAGGCGAGUGGAAUUCCGCGUGUAGCAGUGAAAUGCGUAGAUAUGCGGAGGAACACCGAUGGCGAAGGCAGCCUCCUGGGAUAACACUGACGCUCAUGCACGAAAGCCAGGGGAGCAAACGGG